CGAGCCGGGCGGACGGCCGCGUGGAGGUUCUUGUGGACCUCCCCGAGGAACGUCCGGGCUCCACAGGGCAAGGUGGUGGCUAACGGCCACCCGGGGUGACCCGCGGGACAGUGCCACAGAAAACAGACCGCCCGACGCUCCGGCGCCGGGUAAGGGUGAAACGGUGGUGUAAGAGACCACCAGCGCCUGAGGUGACUCAGGCGGCUAGGUAAACCCCACCUGGAGCAAGGUCAAAAGGAAGCGCCCCUUCGCGAGAAGAGGCGGUUCUGCGCGGACGACCGAGGGCUGCCCGCCCGAGUCCGCGGGUAGACCGCACGAGGCCGGCAGCAAUGCCGGCCCUAGAUGGAUGGCCGUCGCCGAGGGCCCCGCGAGGAGCCCUCGGAACAGAACCCGGCGUACAGCCCGACUCGUCUG
rnacentral:RNase_P_RNA from 2 species